rnacentral:rRNA from 1 species
AACGAACGCUGGCGGCAGGCCUCAUACAUGCAAGUCGAGCGGACGGACCCCUUCGGGGGCGAGUUAGCGGCGAACGGGUGAGUAACAGGUGGAUGAUCUGCCUCCCGGUGGGGGAUAACGGCUGGAAACGGCCGCUAAUACCGCAUUCGGUUGAUGCGUUGCGGCGCAUCAAAGAAAGGCGCUUCACGGCGCUGCCGGGAGAUGAGUCCGCCCCCCCAUUAGUCUAGUUGGCGGGAUAACAGCCCACCAAGGCUUCGAUGGGUAGCCGAACUGAGAGGUUGAUCGGCCACACUGGAACUGAGACACGGUCCAGACACCUACGGGUGGCAGCAGUAGGGAAUAUUGGGCAAUGGGCGAAAGCCUGACCCAGCCAUGCCGCGUGAGUGACGAAGGUCCUAUGGAUUGUAAAGCUCUUUUCUGAGGAAAGAACAUCCGGGGUAGGAAAUGACCCCGGCUUGACGGUACCUCACGGAAUAAGGAACGGCUAAACUCCGUGCCAGCAGCCGCGGU